GAUUUGUGACUUCAUAUUAUAACACCCUUAAAUGUGCAAAAGAACAGAUCAUUUAACAGUAACCCAGAUAUGGCCAAGGAAACUCACUGGCAUAUGUUGCUGUAUUAGAUAGGAAUUGACUGGCACAAAUCCCACCAUGGGCAAAAUAUUCUGCCCCACACAAAAUUUUCUCAGCAUCAUGGAAAGGGCAUCAAAUUGGUCGUCAUUACAAUCUGAAGCUGUACUUUGCUGUCAGGGCAGGGAGAGAAGUACCUGAGGGUUUGUUUCUUUUUUGUCUCAUGUGGCAAAAUACUUUUAUGUUCUGAUAACGAUAUAACCCAGAAUAUCAAGGAAGAUAAUCUACAGUAUCUGCAUAGAACUGGGUUAUCUGAGUCCACACCGCCAUAUAAUCCAGUUCAAUGUGAAUUUUAUACAGCUGUGUGGAAGGGGCCAAAGAGAAGAGAAUCAAUUCAUUUGAAACAUGGUGCUGGAGAAGACUUUUAUGCAUAUUGUGGACUGCUAAUAAGGGCCAAUAAAUGGAUCCAAGAGCAAAUCAAGCCUGAAUUCUUCCUAGAAGCUGAAAUGACUAAACUAAGGCUGGAUCUACACUGCCAUAUACGGAGGAGGAGGAAAGAGGAGAAGACAGGAAUCAGCAUGGCACCGCGGAGCCCCUCAUUAUCACUCGCAGAGCCCUAAGGGCUCCAUGGAGCACAGUUUGAGAACCCCUGCUCUACACUAAUGCACAAAGAAUGGGAAAUAAACAAGAUGAACUUGAACUCUUAAUACAACAAAGCACAUAUGAUGUAAUUGGCAUCACUGAAACCUGGUGGGAUGGGUCUCAUGAUUGGAAUGUAGUAGAGGGGGUAUAACCUAUUUCUGAGAAGCAGAUCAAUUAUACUCUUCAAUAGCCCUGAUUUAGCAGGGGCACUCCAGAUUCAUCCUUUGUCAUCCCACUUUUUGAACUGCUUUUAAAAUAUCCCAAAUUUCCCAUCUGUCCUUGGUUUAAUUCAAUUGCUACAAAUUAUUCAAAGUACUUCUGGUUGCUCCGGUUGCUCCUAACAUGAAAAAAAAAAUUCAAAGUACUUGGCACCAAUUAACUCAUCAGGAGAGAGAGGACUGGAAUGGCAGAGUCUUGCUCUUUCCAGUAGGAGAAGGCAAAGCAAACUGCUAGACCUCUCCUAGCAUCUGUUCACCUCCUCAUUAAUAACUUUCAUUAUCUUUACCGCCCUGUGAUGCUGAAGUAUUGGGAGGAAUGGAGUGUAGGCCUUUAUAAAUCCAAAGAUCUGCACAAAAAUGUAUUGCAAAACAUUUCAUUGUGGCAUGUUCCCUACUGACAGAUGUAGUUGAUGCUACAUCAGAUUUAUUUUUAGGCUGCUGUUUAGGCAAAUAACAU
rnacentral:lncRNA from 1 species